rnacentral:tRNA from 1 species
UGCCUCAUGGUGUAAUGGUAGCACAACUGAUUCUGGUUCAGUUUGUCUGGGUUCGAGUCCUAGUGAGGCAGCCA